CAGCCGCCGCGGUAAUACGAAGGGUGCAAGCGUUAAUCGGAAUUACUGGGCGUAAAGCGUGCGCAGGCGGUUUCUUAAGUCUGAUGUGGAAGCCCCCGGCUCAACCGGGGAGGGUCAUUGGAAACUGGGAAACUUGAGUGCAGAAGAGGAGAGUGGAAUUCCACGUGUAGCGGUGAAAUGCGUAGAGAUGUGGAGGAACACCAGUGGCGAAGGCGACUCUCUGGUCUGUAACUGACGCUGAGGAGCGAAAGCGUGGGGAGCGAACAGGAUUAGAUACCCCAGUAGUCCCUGUCUCUUAUAA
rnacentral:rRNA from 1 species